AUUGAACGCUGGCGGCAGGCCUAACACAUGCAAGUCGAGCGAGCGGCGGAGGGGUGAGUAAAGUAUGGGGAAUGCCCGAUAGAGGGGGAUAACUACUGGAGAAGGUAUAUAAUACAGCAUACUAUCGGAGUACCAAUAUGGGAUUAGCUAGUAGGUGAGGUAAUAGCUCACCUCGGCGACGAUCCCUAGCUGGUCUGAGAGGAUGAUCAGCCACACUGGGACUGAGACACGGCCCAGACUCCUACGGAGGCAGCAGUGGGGAAUAUUGCACAAUGGGCGCAAGCCUGAUGCAGCCAUGCCGCGUGUAUGAAGAAGGCCCUAGGGUUGUAAAGUACUUUCAGUAGGGAGGCGUUACCGACAGAAGAAGCACCGGCUAACUCCGUGCCAGCAGCCGCGGUAAUAC
rnacentral:rRNA from 1 species